CACACCGCCCGUCACACCAUGGAAGUUUGUCGUACCGGAAAACGCCGAGCUAACCGCCUUUUCUUCGGAGAAGGGGAGGCAAGCGUUUAUGGUAUAACCGAUGACUGGGGUG
rnacentral:rRNA from 1 species